GGGCCCUUAGCUCAUUUGGUAGAGUGCCUGCCUUGCACGCAGGAGGUGGUCGGUUCGAUCCCGAUAGGGUCCACCA
rnacentral:tRNA from 1 species